AGCCGAGCGGAGCCCCGGCGGGACACGGCGGCGGCACCGGCGGGAAGAUGGCGGAGCCGGGGGCUGCGCGCAGCCACCCGAGGGCCACAGCCAUUCAUGGAUUUUU